rnacentral:sRNA from 1 species
AUCGGUUUGGAACACAGACCUUAUGAAAGCAGUUUUAGUAAAGCAGUCCUCAGUUCAAGCGUUAUCCUAGAUACCCCUUCUUCAUGAGCCUCCUCCUAAGUGCCGCAUAAGUUAAAUUCUGAAAAACAGGCCAAGUUCGCCGCGUGAGUGGCCCUCAAUAAGAAAGGAAAUAUCUAUGUCUAACAAAAUGACUGGUUUAGUAAAAUGGUUUAACCCUGAAAAAGGUUUUGGCUUCAUCACUCCUCAGGACGGCAGCAAAGAUGUAUUCGUACAUUUUUCAGCAAUCCAGAGCAGCGAUUUCAAAACCUUAGACGAAGGCCAGAAAGUGGAGUUCUCAAUCGAGAACGGCGCUAAAGGCCCGUCAGCGGUUAACGUUAUCGCGCUGUAAUCGCCGAUAAUCUCGCUAACGCUUACAAUAGCGAUG